rnacentral:rRNA from 1 species
GCAGCAGGCACGCAAAUUACCCACUCCCGGCACGGGGAGGUAGUGACAAAAAAUAACGAUACGGGACUCUAUUGAGGCCCCGUAAUCGGAAUGAGUACACUUUAAAUCCUUUAACAAGGAUCCAUUGGAGGGCAAGUCUGGUGCCAGCAGCCGCGGUAAUUCCAGCUCCAAUAGCGUAUAUUAAAGUUGUUGCGGUUAAAAAGCUCGUAGUUGGUUCUGCGUGCCGCGCUGUCGGUUCGCCGCCUGUCGGUGUAACUGGCAUGUCGCGGCAUGUCCUGUCGGUGGUGAACGGGAUAUCCGGUGCUGUUUAGGCUUAAUUGCCGAAGCAUGUACUGUGUGUGUUUCCGUUCGCCGAUCUCUCCUACUCCGGUGCUCUUAAACGAGUGUCGAGGUAGGCCGACACGUUCACUUUGAACAAAUUAGAGUGCUUAAAGCAGGCUGAAAUAUCUGCCUGAAUAGUGGUGCAUGGAAUGAUAAAACAGGACCUCGGUUCUAUUUUGUUGGUUUUAGGAAUAUGAGGUAAUGAUCAAUGUGGACUGGCGGGGGCAUUCGUAUUGCGACGUUAGAGGUGAAAUUCUUGGAUCGUCGCAAGACGCACUAGAGCGAAAGCAUUUGCCAAGUAUGUCUUAAUUGAUCAAGAACGAAAGUUAGAGGUUCGAAGGCGAUCAGAUACCGCCCUAGUUCUAACCAUAAACGAUGCCAGCCAGCGAUCCGCCGAUGUUCCUUUAAUGACUCGGCGGGGAGCUUCUACUCGGGAAACCAAAGCUUUUGGGUUCCGGGGGAAGUAUGGUUGCAAAGCUGAAACUUAAAGGAAUUGACGGAAGGGCACCACCAGGAGUGGAGCCUGCGGCUUAAUUUGACUCAACACGGGAAACCUCA